rnacentral:rRNA from 1 species
GUAUAGCUAAAGCUAAAUGUAUUUUAUAAAAAUACAGAUGCGACUUUUCGUAUAAAGUUCUAGGUAGAAUUAUGAUAAUGACAUUAUCUAUCUAUAAGUCUUGACCAACAUGCGUGCCAGCAGUCGCGGCAAGACGCUAAAGACUAGUGUUAUUCAUCUUUAAUAGGUUUAAAGUGUACCUAGACGGUAAAUCAAGCCUUAACCGGGACUAAUUUAACUAGAGUUAGAUGUAAGGGUGCAUUAACGUACUAUUGAGUGUAGAGAUGAAAUGCUAUGAUACCAGAUAAUUGGCACGGGUUUAGGCGAAAGCAUCACCUUAUGUAAUAACUGACGUUGAGGGACGAAGGCUUUGUAUCGCGAAUGGGAUUAGGUACCCCAGUAGUCUAAGCAGAAAAUGAUGAAUGUCAUAGGUUAAAUAUUAUUUAGUCUAUAAAUGAAAGUGUAAGCAUUCCACCUCAAGAGUAAUUUGGCAACAUUGGAACUGAAAUCAUUAGACCGUAUCUGAAACCAGUAGUGAAGUAUGUUGUUUAAUUUGAUGAUACACAAAGAACCUUACCACAACUUGAAUAUUUUACAAGUGUUGCACGGCUGUCUUCAGUUAAUGUCGUGAGAUUAUGGUUAGUUCCAUUAAAUUAACGUAAACCCUUACUUUAUUUUAUUUUAUAUAAAGUUGUUCGCCGCUAUAUUGGUUAGAUAAAAGGGAGUAAGACAAGUCAUCAUGGCCUUAACGUUGUGGGCU